UGGCAAUGAGGAUAAUACUUUUCAUGAAUCAAAGUGAUUGGUUUAUACGCUAUUCUGAGCUUUUU
rnacentral:snoRNA from 1 species